AGCGAACGCUGGCGGCAGGCCUAACACAUGCAAGUCGAACGAACCUUUCGGGGUUAGUGGCGGACGGGUGAGUAACACGUGGGAACGUGCCUUUAGGUUCGGAAUAACUCAGGGAAACUUGUGCUAAUACCGAAUGUGCCCUUCGGGGGAAAGAUUAAUCGCCUUUAGAGCGGCCCGCGUCUGAUUAGCUAGUUGGUUGAGGUAAUGGCUCACCAAGGCGACGAUCAGUAGCUGGUCUGAGAGGAUGAUCAGCCACAUUGGGACUGGGACACGGCCCAAACUCCUACGGGAGGCAGCAGUGGGGAAUCUUGCGCAAUGGGCGAAAGCCUGACGCAGCCAUGCCGCGUGAAUGAUGAAGGUCUUAGGAUUGUAAAAUUCUUUCACCGGGGACGAUAAUGACGGUACCCGGAGAAGAAGCCCCGGCUAACUUCGU
rnacentral:rRNA from 1 species